rnacentral:rRNA from 1 species
AUACGGAGGGGGCUAGCGUUGUUCGGAUUUACUGGGCGUAAAGCGCGCGUAGGCGGUAUAUCAAGUUAGGCGUGAAAGCCCCGGGCUCAACCCGGGAACUGCGCUUAUUACUGAUAAACUAGAGUCCGGGAGAGGGUGGCGGAAUUCCCAGUGUAGAGGUGAAAUUCGUAGAUAUUGGGAAGAACACCAGUUGCGAAGGCGGCCACCUGGACCGGUACUGACGCUGAGGCGCGAAAGCGUGGGGAGCAAACAGGAUUAGAUACCCCAGUAGUCC